rnacentral:rRNA from 4 species
GCGGCGUGCUUAACACAUGCAAGUCGAACGGAAAGGCCCUUCGGGGUACUCGAGUGGCGAACGGGUGAGUAACACGUGGGUGAUCUGCCCUGCACUUUGGGAUAAGCCUGGGAAACUGGGUCUAAUACCGAAUAGGACCACGCGCUUCAUGGUGUGUGGUGGAAAGCUUUUGCGGUGUGGGAUGGGCCCGCGGCCUAUCAGCUUGUUGGUGGGGUAAUGGCCUACCAAGGCGACGACGGGUAGCCGGCCUGAGAGGGUGACCGGCCACACUGGGACUGAGAUACGGCCCAGACUCCUACGGGAGGCAGCAGUGGGGAAUAUUGCACAAUGGGCGCAAGCCUGAUGCAGCGACGCCGCGUGAGGGAUGACGGCCUUCGGGUUGUAAACCUCUUUCAAUAGGGACGAAGCGCAAGUGACGGUACCUAUAGAAGAAGCACCGGCCAACUACGUGCCAGCAGCCGCGGUAAUACGUAGGGUGCGAGCGUUGUCCGGAAUUACUGGGCGUAAAGAGCUCGUAGGUGGUUUGUCGCGUUGUUCGUGAAAACUCACAGCUUAACUGUGGGCGUGCGGGCGAUACGGGCAGACUAGAGUACUGCAGGGGAGACUGGAAUUCCUGGUGUAGCGGUGGAAUGCGCAGAUAUCAGGAGGAACACCGGUGGCGAAGGCGGGUCUCUGGGCAGUAACUGACGCUGAGGAGCGAAAGCGUGGGGAGCGAACAGGAUUAGAUACCCUGGUAGUCCACGCCGUAAACGGUGGGUACUAGGUGUGGGUUCCUUCCUUGGGAUCCGUGCCGUAGCUAACGCAUUAAGUACCCCGCCUGGGGAGUACGGCCGCAAGGCUAAAACUCAAAGGAAUUGACGGGGGCCCGCACAAGCGGCGGAGCAUGUGGAUUAAUUCGAUGCAACGCGAAGAACCUUACCUGGGUUUGACAUGCACAGGACGCCGGCAGAGAUGUCGGUUCCCUUGUGGCCUGUGUGCAGGUGGUGCAUGGCUGUCGUCAGCUCGUGUCGUGAGAUGUUGGGUUAAGUCCCGCAACGAGCGCAACCCUUGUCCUAUGUUGCCAGCGGGUUAUGCCGGGGACUCGUAGGAGACUGCCGGGGUCAACUCGGAGGAAGGUGGGGAUGACGUCAAGUCAUCAUGCCCCUUAUGUCCAGGGCUUCACACAUGCUACAAUGGCCGGUACAAAGGGCUGCGAUGCCGUGAGGUGGAGCGAAUCCUUUCAAAGCCGGUCUCAGUUCGGAUCGGGGUCUGCAACUCGACCCCGUGAAGUCGGAGUCGCUAGUAAUCGCAGAUCAGCAACGCUGCGGUGAAUACGUUCCCGGGCCUUGUACACACCGCCCGUCACGUCAUGAAAGUCGGUAACACCCGAAGCCGGUGGCCUAACCCUUGUGGAGGGAGCCGUCGAAGGUG